rnacentral:lncRNA from 1 species
AUGAUGAGUCUCAUGACACGUGUGGUCCAGUUAGUCCUUGUUCUAAUUCAGACAAGGCAGGUGGCCUUGUACCCAUCUCUUCACUUCCUAGUAAAUGAAAGAUUUGGACUAGCUGAUCUCUGCAUCUCCUUCCAGUUCUGGCAUCGGAUAUGCUGCGACUCUGAGAGGACAUCUUCCCUGGGUCUGGCUCUUACUGUUCAGGUUCAACCACGUGAAGAUGACGUUGGUGUGGAGGGUCCAAUGCUCUGCAUUUGGUGCUUAAUCCAGAGGAGGAGUGUCUCAUGCAAAAGUGUAACUGUGCAUGCUAGAAGCCCAGGGAUUCCCCAAGAAGAGAUAGUAGCAGGGUUUGCAAAGACUUAUCAGGAUGAGAGAGAGCACCAAAGCAAACCAAAAAUCUCCCAGUGAUUAACAAAGCAGGUAACUGAUGUUUCUCAGAGUAUAUGGAAGGAGAAAUCUCAGAGUAUAUGGAGUCCAAAUAUAAAGUGGAUACUUUUAGACGUUUAUCCGAUCAUGCCCUUUGCUGCCGUAACCUCUCCUCAUCGACUCUUUGCCUGGCUAGUUCUUUCUCUUCCACAGGAGGUCAACUUAAAUAUCUUCUCAGAUAUACUUUUUCUGAUCAUCCACACUCUAAGUAGAUCCCUCCUUUUAUCCUGCUUCUUGUUACACUCUAUUAUUUUCCUUCCUAGCCCUCAUCCUAAUUUGUGAUUGCCUCCUUAUUUGUUCAGUUACUUAUUUGCCAUCAUCAGGCUCUCAGUUGCUUGAGAAUGGGAACAUGUCAGCACAGUGCCUGAGAUACAGCAGGUGUUCACUUCGUUGGAUCCCAGAAGGGACAGGAGCAGGCAAGCUGUCAUUGAGUGUGAUGUUUCUUCUCUUGGUUCAACUACAGCCAUUGGAGUAAGAAGUCUGUCACUUGUGGCCUUUGCUACUUCAAUUAACGCUGCUGGAUGCCUUUGCUCUGAGUCAUAGCCAUUCUAUCUUUGAUUGCUGAACUUUGGUUGGCCCACUUCAGCAUGAUUAGUGACCAAACCAAAAGACUUGGGGUCAGUGCACCUCUUCUACCCCUGUGCUACUCCUAAGAGUCUCUUGAGAAGGCUGCCCAAGUUGCUAAGGCAACUGAGAGAUGCUCUGAUUAAAUAAUCAAAGUGUGCCCAGAUCAAGGGAAGAAAUGGUCUUUUGGCAGUCUACGUUACAUCACAGACCACAUUUAGAGAUUAUAUUUAGUUUGGGGUACCACAUUUUUAAAAGAGGAGAAUUGGAAACUGUUUGGUAGAAGGAAGCCUGUAUAGUCCAGAAUUUGGGAAAUCUGUUAUAGGAAGAGCAGUAAACGAACGGCAGAGAAACCAAUGGAAGGAGAAGCUGCCAUCUUGGAAAAGAAUGAAGCUUGCUCUAACUUGUCCCUGGGGGAAGGACAAACUUCAGACAAAAGUUACAAGGAUACAGAUUUUGGGUCAAGAUAAGGAAGAGGCCGGCCCCGUGGUGUAACAGUUAAGUUCAUGUGCUCCACUUCGGUGGUCUGGGGGGGUCACUGGUUUAGAUCCCAGGUGCGGACCUAUGUACCACUUAUCAAGCCAUGCUGUGGCAGGCAUCUGUCCCACAUAUAAAGUAGAGGAAGAUGAACACAGAUGUUAGCUCAGGGCCAAUCUUCCUCAGCAAAAAGAGGAGGAUUUGUGGUCGAUGUUAGCUCAGGGCUAAUCUUCCUAAAAAAAGAAAAAUAAGGAAGAAUUUUGCAACGAGUAGAGCUGUUGAAAAAUAAAAUGGAUUUACCUUGUGAAGGGGUGAAUCUC